GAUGAACGCUGGCGGCGUGCCUAAUACAUGCAAGUCGAGCGAACAGACGAGGAGCUUGCUCCUCUGACGUUAGCGGCGGACGGGUGAGUAACACGUGGAUAACCUACCUAUAAGACUGGGAUAACUUCGGGAAACCGGAGCUAAUACCGGAUAAUAUAUUGAACCGCAUGGUUCAAUAGUGAAAGACGGUUUUGCUGUCACUUAUAGAUGGAUCCGCGCCGCAUUAGCUAGUUGGUAAGGUAACGGCUUACCAAGGCAACGAUGCGUAGCCGACCUGAGAGGGGGAUCGGCCACACUGGAACUGAACCACGGUCCAGACUCCUACGGGAGGCAGCAGUAGGGAAUCUUCCGCAAUGGGCGAAAGCCUGACGGAGCAACGCCGAGUGAGUGAUGAAGGUCUUCGGAUCGUAAAACUCUGUUAUUAGGGAAGAACAAAUGUGUAAGUAACUAUGCACGUCUUGACGGUACCUAAUCAGAAAGCAACGGCUAACUACGUG
rnacentral:rRNA from 1 species